UUGUGAGGUGAUGCAAUUUCAGUUCCCUACCUCUAAGGUUUCCCACCUCAGCUACAUUUUCUCUGUAGUGCCAUUUGCUACAACAAUCUCUUUCAGAUCCUGCAGCACAAAUCAGAGUGGCUUUUUAAGUUUUUCCAUUUUCUGCUGAAAAUGUUCUUACUCUCAGAACUACUUAAAAUCAAUGAUCUGGAAGUAUAUUAUUCUUUCAAAAAUUUUCUCCAUUUGUUAGAAGUAAAGGAAAGAAGCAACAAUUGAUUUGCAUAUGAGGCGGUCUGAGAUUUUAGAGAGGAAUUUGGUGGGAAAAUUCUAUUCAUCAUGAUUUUCCCUUUUAAAUAAGACCAUACUGAAACAUAAAUUUUAAAAAUUACUCACACUUCAGUUCUUCCCUAUCCUUGGCCUGGCACAAUUUUAUCGAGACAUUCUCAGGCACAAAAGCAAUUUUUUUAAAAAAAACAAAACAAGGAACUGGCUGCCUAAAGAAGGGGGUGUUUUUUUUUAGUUUUUGUUUCUCCCUUCUAGCUUUAUAUUGUUUAUUUUAAUGUAAGUUGCCUUGCGUCCUCUUGAGGAAUACAGUCUAUAAACACUGAAAUUAAAUAAAUAUAAAUAUAGACACAAUGUAGCACUCUGAAGAACAGUUUUAUUUCAGCAUGAGCUUUUUUAGACCCAAACUUCUCUCCCUUCUUUUUUCUUUUUCCCGCAUUCUAAGAAAGCCUAAAAUGGCCAAUCUUUGGAAAUGAUCGCCAACUAUUACCUUAUGGACAUUUCUAAAGCGUGGUUCACUUCUCCCGUCAAACCAACCAAGAAACCCACAACCAAAACUCAUUUUGGAACAAAUCACGUAAUGCCUAAAAGGGCCUUUUGCUGUGGUUUGCUGCCCUUUGCACUUAAUAUUUUCCCCCACUUCGUGUUGCUGCCCUAUUUAUCAUCUGUAUUAAAAUAUCUGUUUAAAUUUUGUGUUUGUUGCCCUGUGGUAAUUUUAUCAUGGCCCUGGCAUGUAGAUAAUCAUACCAUUUGCUCGCCUCGCCACUUGCUGGGCGGGAAGAUGAUGAUGAUGAUGAUGAUGAUGAUAAUAAUAAUAAUAAAUAUGAACAAAUGGGUCCCAAGGAAGCGGAGGGGGGACCCGAAAAUCCCUCUCCCUUACUCGAACUCAAAGAGGAGGCCCCUCAGCUUUCAGGUCUGGGCAGAGAAACACAAACCGUUGGAAGCCCUCCCCCACCCCAUAAAUCCUGAGGUAAGGGAAAACCGGUAACGGCGUUGUAACGGCGGCCAGCGCUUUGCCCAUGCUCAGAGGGGCCGUUCCGCUGGCCGGUCCCAGGCUUCUCCUCUCCAUGUCAUCCCACAAGGCCGACUCUUAUGAGGGAAAGGGAAGGAGCCCCAUUCCUCCCCCCUCGACUCGGCCUCUUUAGCGGCCCCGCUCUUACCGUCGCCACCGCUCCACUCCGCGCCUCACGAAGACUGAGAGGCUCCGGCCGGAAGUUCCCAACCGGAAGUGCGCCGACGCGAGAGCCGCGGAGAGCCAGGUUAGAGCGUCUGCCUGGCUUCUCUUCCGCCCCCUAGUGGCGCCUCGGGAUUCCUACAGGGAAAGUGCUGCCCUGGGAAGCUUUCUUCUUAAAAAACGAAGCGUUCAGACGUCGCUCAGGCAUUUCCUCCGUCAUUGAACUGAAAUGAAGGCCCAGCCCUGAAAGUAUGUGUUUUUCACUCAAAAGGGAGGCAGCUAAAGCGGCCCACGUCCCGAUUCCCAAAUGAGAGUACUGUAGCAUGACAACAGAAACAAGGAUGAAGCGAUCCAACGCUGGUCCAGAUGUUCAAGAGGAAAUUGGACCAGUAUCUCUCACAGCUGCUUCGAUGGGGAUGCCUGCCUCAAGCAAGGGGUUGGACUUGAUGACCUUAAGAGGACCCUUCCAACUUCAGGAAUUUAUGAUCCUAGGGUUCCAACGUACAUCAAAGCAAGUGAAUGAAGACAACUGAUUCUUAGCACACUAGAUAUGCAUCAAUGUGUGGGAUCAGAAUUUUAAUGAGAAAGGUUAUUAUGCCAGCUGGCCUACCUACUUUGUGCUGAGGUUUGAGUGACAGGGGAAAAAAGCAGAAUGUGGUGCCCCCUGCAAAGCAGAGAGUCAAAGGGUCUGCUUUCAAACAAGGGGAAGCGACUCAGGCCCAAAGGUAUUGUCAUUUAUUUUUGUAAUAGCGGUCGAUUUCCCCUUUAGGUCCAUCUAAAUUUUAGCAUUUGGGGCAAAGUCCUGGAGGCCCCAACCCAUAGUCUUUGUUACAACCAUAACAAAAAGAAAUGAUAGCUAUAACACCAGAAAGUCAAACCAGCGAGUCAAAUCAAGCCUGAAUUCUCGCUAGGAGUAAAUAUGAUGAAACGGAGGUUGUCCUACUUUGGGCCCUUCAUAACAAGGGAGAGAUUAUUUGGAAAAGACAAUAAUGGCAGGAGAAGUUGAAGGCAGCAAGAAAAGAAGACGACCCAGCGUGAGAUGGAUUGACUCAAUAAAGCCAUGGCCUUCAGUUUGCA
rnacentral:lncRNA from 1 species